rnacentral:lncRNA from 1 species
UGUGUGUGUUACCUUAACUUAGAUUUUUGAAACCCUUAAUUAACUUGAAUUCAGUAAAGUGAAAUUGUAAGGAACCAUCAUUUGCUUUCUUAGGAUUUCUCUACAAGAAGAAAUACAAAUCAUAGAAAUUGGCAGGCUGCAUGGUGAUCCAGUUGAGAAAAAAAUUGCUAAUUCACUCAACAAGGGAUAUCCCAAAUGUGUGGAAAAAGAGCCAAACAUCCCAUUCUAGAUUUGGUGUGGAUGACAAGUUUUUACAGGAAGAAUAUGCUUUACAGAUUGAAGAAUAGGAUAUCAAAGUGAGUAGAUAUUUUAAAAAACAUUUAAAAUAUACUAUAUAGAAAGCUGAUGAAAAUAUUGUAUUAAAAAUAGGAG